AUUGAACGCUGGCGGCAGGCCUAACACAUGCAAGUCGAGCGAGCGGCGGACUGUUGAGUAAUGUCUGGGCAACUGCCUGCUUGAGGGGUAUAACUACUUGAUACGGUAGCUCAUCCCGCAUCCCAUCAGAUGUGCCCCGAUGGGAUUAGCUAGUAGGUGGGGUAACGGCUCACCUAGGCGACGAUCCCUAGCUGGUCUGAGAGGAUGCCCAGCCACACUGGAACUGAGACACGGUCCAGACUCCUACGGGAGGCAGCAGUGGGGAAUAUUGAACAAUGGGCGAAAGCCUGAUGCAGCCAUGCCGCGUGUGUGAAGAAGGCCUUCGGGUUGUAAAGCACUUUCAGCGGGGAGGCGUUAAACGAAGAAGAAGAACCGGCUAACUCCGUGCCAGCCGCCGCGGUAAUUG
rnacentral:rRNA from 1 species